GCUGGGUGCAGUGCUCACACCUGUAAUCCCAGCUACUCGGGAGGCUGAGGCAGGAGGAUUGCAAGUUCAUGGCCAGCCUGGGCAACUUAGUGAGACUCUAUCUCCA
rnacentral:sRNA from 1 species